AAGACCUUGCGCUUUUGGAGCGGCCGAUGCCUGAUUAGCUUGUUGGUAAGGUAAAAGCUUACCAAGGCUUCGAUCAGUAGCUGGUCUGAGAGGACGGCCAGCCACACUGGGACUGAGACACGGCCCAGACUCCUACGGGAGGCAGCAGUGGGGAAUUUUGGACAAUGGGGGCAACCCUGAUCCAGCCAUGCCGCGUGAGUGAAGAAGGCCUUCGGGUUGUAAAGCUCUUUCAGCCGGAACGAAACGGUUACGGUUAAUACCCGUGAUUACUGACGGUACCGGAAGAAGAAGCACCGGCUAACUACGUGCCAGCAGCCGCGGUAAUACGUAGGGUGCGAGCGUUAAUCGGAAUUACUGGGCGUAAAGCGUGCGCAGGUGGUUUUGUAAGUCAGAUGUGAGAGCCCCGGGCUCAACCUGGGAACU
rnacentral:rRNA from 1 species